GCCUGGGUGGCUCAGUGGUUGAGCGUCUGCCUUCGGCGCAGGUCAUGAUCCCGGGUUCUGGAAUCAAGUCCUGAAUCAGGCU
rnacentral:tRNA from 1 species